UGGGGAAUUUUGGACAAUGGGCGAAAGCCUGAUCCAGCAAUGCCGCGUGUGUGAAAGAAGGCCUUCGGGUUGUAAAGCACUUUUGUCCGGAAAGAAAUCCUUGGCUCUAAUACAGUCGGGGGAUGACGGUACCGGAAGAAUAAGCACCGGCUAACUACGUGCCAGCAGCCGCGGUAAUACGUAGGGUGCAAGCGUUAAUCGGAAUUACUGGGCGUAAAGCGUGCGCAGGCGGUUUGCUAAGACCGAUGUGAAAUCCCCGGGCUCAACCUGGGAACUGCAUUGGUGACUGGCAGGCUAGAGUAUGGCAGAGGGGGGUAGAAUUCCACGUGUAGCAGUGAAAUGCGUAGAGAUGUGGAGGAAUACCGAUGGCGAAGGCAGCCCCCUGGGCCAAUACUGACGCUCAUGCACGAAAGCGUGGGGAGCAAACAGGAUUAGAUACCCUGGUAGUCCACGCCCUAAACGAUGUCAACUAGUUGUUGGGGAUUCAUUUCCUUAGUAACGUAGCUAACGCGUGAAGUUGACCGCCUGGGGAGUACGGUCGCAAGAUUAAAACUCAAAGGAAUUGACGGGGUCAUAGCUGUUUCCU
rnacentral:rRNA from 1 species